rnacentral:rRNA from 1 species
UGGGGAAUUUUGGACAAUGGGCGAAAGCCUGAUCCAGCAAUGCCGCGUGUGUGAAGAAGGCCUUCGGGUUGUAAAGCACUUUUGUCCGGAAAGAAAUCCUUGGCUCUAAUACAGUCGGGGGAUGACGGUACCGGAAGAAUAAGCACCGGCUAACUACGUGCCAGCAGCCGCGGUAAUACGUAGGGUGCAAGCGUUAAUCGGAAUUACUGGGCGUAAAGCGUGCGCAGGCGGUUUGCUAAGACCGAUGUGAAAUCCCCGGGCUCAACCUGGGAACUGCAUUGGGUGACUGGCAGGCUAGAGUAUGGCAGAGGGGGGUAGAAUUCCACGUGUAGCAGUGAAAUGCGUAGAGAUGUGGAGGAAUACCGAUGGCGAAGGCAGCCCCCCUGGGCCAAUACUGACGCUCAUGCACGAAAGCGUGGGGAGCAAAACAGGAUUAGAUACCCUGGUAGUCCACGCCCUAAACGAUGUCAACUAGUUGUUGGGGAUUCAUUUUCCUUAGUAAUGUAGCUAACGCGUGAAGUUGACCGCCUGGGGAGUACGGUCGCAAGAUUAAAACUCAAAGGAAUUGACGGGGGUCAU